UACGAAGGGGGCUAGCGUUGCUCGGAAUCACUGGGCGUAAAGCGCACGUAGGCGGCUUUUUAAGUCAGGGGUGAAAUCCUGGAGCUCAACUCCAGAACUGCCUUUGAUACUGAGAGCUUGAGUCCGGGAGAGGUGAGUGGAACUGCGAGUGUAGAGGUGAAAUUCGUAGAUAUUCGCAAGAACACCAGUGGCGAAGGCGGCUCACUGGCCCGGUACUGACGCUGAGGCGCGAAAGCGUGGGUAGCAAACGGG
rnacentral:rRNA from 1 species